rnacentral:rRNA from 1 species
UGGGGAAUAUUGCACAAUGGGCGCAAGCCUGAUGCAGCCAUGCCGCGUGUAUGAAGAAGGCCUUCGGGUUGUAAAGUACUUUCAGAGGGGAGGAAGGCGAUGUGGUUAAUAACCGCGUCGAUUGACGUUACCCGCAGAAGAAGCACCGGCUAACUCCGUGCCAGCAGCCGCGGUAAUACGGAGGGUGCAAGCGUUAAUCGGGAUUACUGGGCGUAAAGCGCACGCAGGCGGUCUGUCAAGUCGGAUGUGAAAUCCCCGGGCUCAACCUGGGAACUGCAUCCGAAACUGGCAGGCUUGAGUCUCGUAGAGGGGGGUAGAAUUCCAGGUGUAGCGGUGAAAUGCGUAGAGAUCUGGAGGAAUACCGGUGGCGAAGGCGGCCCCCUGGACGAAGACUGACGCUCAGGUGCGAAAGCGUGGGGAGCAAACA